rnacentral:rRNA from 1 species
AUUGAACGCUGGCGGCAUGCCUAACACAUGCAAGUCGAACGGAGGUAGGGGCAACUCUACUUCAGUGGCGGACGGGUGAGGAAUGCGUCGGAAUCUACCCUAUGGUGGGGGAGUAACACAGGGAAACGUUAGUGCUAAUACCGCAUAAUGUCGAGAGACCAAAGACAGGGGACCGGCAAGGCCUUGCGCGAUAGGAUGAGCCGACGCCCGAUUAGCUAGUUGGUAGGGUAAAGGCCUACCAAGGCGACGAUCGGUAGCUGGUCUGAGAGGAUGAUCAGCCACACUGGGACUGAGACACGGCCCAGACUCCUACGGGAGGCAGCAGUGGGGAAUAUUGGACAAUGGGCGCAAGCCUGAUCCAGCAAUGCCGCGUGUGUGAAGAAGGCCUGCGGGUUGUAAAGACACUUUUGUUUCGGGAAGAAAUCAUGCUGGUUAAUACCUGGUAUGGAUGACGGUACCGAAAGAAUAAGCACCGGCUAACUUCGUGCCAGCAGCC